AACGAACGCUGGCGGCAGGCCUAACACAUGCAAGUCGAACGUGAAGCCACCUUCGGGUGGUGGAAAGUGGCAGACGGGUGAGUAACGCGUGGGAACGUGCCUUUCGGUUCGGGAUAACCCAGGGAAACUUGGGCUAAUACCGGAUACGCCCUUCGGGGGAAAGAUUCAUUGCCGAAAGAUCGGCCCGCGUCGGAUUAGCUAGUUGGUGGGGUAAUGGCCUACCAAGGCGACGAUCCGUAGCUGGUCCGAGAGGAUGAUCAGCCACACUGGGACUGAGACACGGCCCAGACUCCUGCGGGAGGGAGCAGUGGGGAAUAUUGCACAAUGGGCGAAAGCCUGAUGCAGCCAUGCCGCGUGGGUGAAGAAGGCCUUAGGGUUGUAAACCCCUUUCAGCGGGGAAGAUAAUGACGGUACCCGCAGAAGAAGUCCCGGCUAACUCCGUGCCAGCCGCCGCGGUAACAC
rnacentral:rRNA from 1 species